CCGGACACUCAGCGGGACGGGCAGGCUGUGGGGCCAGAGCCGGGGCUGCCGGGGCUUGGUUGAGGACGGCCUUCCCAGCGGUGCCACCUGCCACCUGUGUGGCUCCCAGGGACUUCCCGGGGUCACAGGGCCAUGUCCCUGUCCCCUCCAACCAGGGCCAUGUGCCAGCCUGGCCACGCUCCUGCCCACUCCCACCUCGGGGCCUCGAUCGCUGCCCAUAAGCCUCGGGCCUCGCCCCCCACCUCCCCUCGUCCUCCGUCUCCCUCUGGAGAUGUCACCUUCUUCUCCAGGAAGCUUCCCCGAUGUCCCCGGAUGGGUCUGGGCAUCUUCGGGGCUGUCACCUGCUCCCGUACACGACCCGUCCCACCUCUAGUCACCCUGGACUAGAGCCCUCUGUGUGUGACCCUAAGCAGCCCAGGCCGGGCCGGCCUCCGGGCUAACUCCUCUAUCCGCCUCUUAUCCCCAGGACCUCAGGCCUCGGUUUCCUUGUUUGGGAAGUGGACACAGCCGUGGCCCCUGUGGUGAUGGGCUGGGAGGGAGGAGGACACCUCACAAGUGCUUCACACACGGUGCCACGCGCGGGGCUCGCCGUCCGCCAGCGCUGGCCGUGUCCCCCACCCCGACUGGCCAUAGUAGGUGCUCACUUAGGAUUUCCUGAAUGAGCAGACGCAGCCCUUCAAGUGUGUCCCAAAGAGCAGCUGAGGCAAGGGGUGCGUGUGACCUCAGGGAAGAGUCUCUGAGAACACAAUCCGAGGAGCCGAGCUGCGUGAUUUAUAACUAGGCGGCCUCCACCCGCUCCCGGCCGGGGGGACAAGAAAACAGAACGUUUCGUGUGGUCACAUUAGAAAUGGCGGCACAAAAAAAAUGGCUUUUCUUCUUGUUUGAUGUGUUUUUUCCAAUUUCCUCUAAUAAGCAGGAUUUCAAUUUAAGUGGGAAAACAUAACAGCAGACCAGACAGAGGCCAGGAGCCCCAGCCCUUGGGUUCUGUGCAUGUUUCCCACAAACUGGGGCCCGGGUGGGCGGGGCGGGGCAGGCAGGGGCCGCGCCGCUGGUGGAGGUGAAGCAAGAGCGGAGCCGGCCCAGGGCUCGGCCAGGGGAAGCGGCACUAGUGACCAAGGUCCCAGCUGGUGGGUCCUUCUAGACGUGUCCCCCAGAAACCCUCCCCAGGCCCCAGGCUGAGCCAGCGGCCUGUGUCACACCCCAGGGUCUGC
rnacentral:lncRNA from 1 species